rnacentral:rRNA from 1 species
ACGCUCGACACCUACUGGAGGCAGCAGUGGGGGAUAUUGCACAAUGGAGGAAACUCUGAUGCAGCGACGCCGCGUGAGGGAAGACGGUUUUCGGAUUGUAAACCUCUGUCUUCAGGGACGAAAUGAAUGACGGUACCUGAGGAGGAAGCUCCGGCUAACUACGUGCCAACAGCCGCGGUAAUCUGAGCGGGCUGGCAAGGC